rnacentral:lncRNA from 1 species
CCCAUCUGUCCACACUCACCCCAUCCUCACCCCCAUCUGUCCACACUCACCCCAUCCUCACCCCCACCACAUCCCCAUCCGUCCCCACUCACCCCAUCCUCCCAUCCUCUUCCCCACCCCAUCCAUGUCACAGUUCAUGGGAAGCCUGGUGCACAUGUGUAGAACCAGAGCCACCCUAUCCCUGUCCCUCCCUUCCCUCCCCACUGGCUGAGCGGGAGGGGAUGGCCUGGGAUUGGCUUCCUACCGUUGCCAUGACUGUUGCUAGGAUCAGGGCUGUCUCCAGCCCCUGCAGGAAACAUGUAAUGAAUUAUGGAUGUCCGAUUUUCUCUGAGAGGCCUGAUCUGUAAUGCAGAUGAGCACCAAGUCCCCCUUUUCUUCUGGUUUCUUAAGAAAAAAAAAUCAGUUUUAAAUCCGAAGCUGGCAUUUGUGUAGUCCUGGCUGCCCCUUGCAGUGACCGCUGCCCGGUGUUGAUUCUUAUGCAAAGAGAGGGCCGGGGUCAGGGUCUGUUGUUUGUUCUGGAAAAGCUUGUAGGAUUUUCACCAGACCUUGUGACCUUUGGGGACAUUUUUUUUGUGUGUGAUCAGAGACAGAAUGGGAUAUAAACACUAGAAGUGACAUUUUCUAAACGUGAGGCACUUCUCUGGGCUGGCAGUGCCAGGAGCGUGGAGGGCUCAGAUCUCUGCUGGCAAAGGUGUGAGUGCUCUCCCUUCUCCCUCUCCCUCCCACUCCAGCCUCCACCCCAGAGCAGAGAAACGUUUGCCCAAAUGUGACUUAUACCUUCGUUCUGAGAGUAGGCACAGGUGGGCCUCUUCCAUUGGCUGCCCUUGUGGGCUGUGAGCAGAGAGGGCCCUCAUGUUUACUAAGUGCCCUUGUGGGCUUGGGGCCACCCCACCGCCAGAUGGAGGGGACAGAGGUGACAGGCGACAGGGCUGGGCUCCCUGUCCAGCUCCCCAGUGGCAGAGGUCCUCGGACAGUGGGAAUCAGAAGGGCGUCUUUGCUGGGCCACCCUUGGCAGGGAGUGACCUGAGCAGGUGCUUCCUGUGUGAGUGGGGGUGUCUGGGAACUGUGCAAGGUGCGGCCAUGUGGGCAUGCUCAGAGCCUGGUUGGACUGUAAGGUAGGAAGGCAUCCAGUCGUUCCCAUGGGCCAGCACAGAGGAGAAACAGGCAUGUGUGCGCGGGCCUGAAGGCGGCCCCUUCCCGGCAGUCUUACCUAAGCGACUGGUCCCUUAGGCUCCCAGCUUCGUGCCUGUCACCCAGCAUCCCCAUUGCCUCACGGUUCCCCCUCUCACGGGAGAAACGUCGACAGUGCUGGUGGGAACACAGAGAUGCCACCCAGGACCCCCGUGAGAUGCAGACACAAGCGGCUUUAACUUUACAAUGCAAUGAAGCAAAAUAUGCUGGCUUUGAGACCCGGAGGGCACGAAAACAGGGAGCUGGGGUUCUGGAAGGACGCCAGCUCGGCCUGCGAGGGGCUGAAAAAUACCUGCUGUUGCCUCUGUCUCGUUGAGAGUUGCCUCCCACCACCACAGAGGGAACCACGUGAGUCAAAGACAGAAAGAAAGGGACGGAAAAGAACUGUAUUUCAAAGAGGCAAGCCUUUAUAUUAGAAUGACGGCAACGCAGUUUAGGUGAAAAUUACAUUUGUCACCCCCACACUGGAGUGUUUAUUGAACGGCAGCUGGGUCAGCUCAAGGAAUUUCAAAGAGACGCAGGACACGAAGUGAUGGAUGAGUGGAAUCCUCCACUAAAACUCCUUCCAGGACACUGUGUAUCUGUCUACAGUUUCAUUCUCGCUUUCUUUCUUUUUAUUGAGGGCAUGCCUUGGACGUUUUGUUUUUAGUCUCAGGACCAUUUUAAUGAAGAGCCAUGGGUCACUGCUUCUAUUCGGGGUCAUGUACAGACAACAGUCAGUGGAAAUAGCACUUGUCUUUGAAUUGAGCAGAUAGAAAAUAGAGAAGGAAAGUCCUGGAGGAGCGGCUUUCCCGCCAGCGUCUACCUGUAGAGAGUGAGACGAAGAUGGAGACAAUUAACUGGACGAAGCAGGCAAAAUCCCCGAUAAUUGAGGCCGGGUGCCACGGGGUGACUUUCCCUUUCUGGAGUUAUUUAGCCAGUUUCUUUCUCUCUGCUGUGUGUGUCGACACAACCUUGGCCUCCCCCGCUGUAAAAUGGAAAAACCACAGCCGCAGAGCUCACCAGGGAAUUCUGCAGCUCUCGGAAUGAUUGCGCGCCGGGCUGACAAUGCGAAGUGUUAGAUUAACGUGAAAGUGUUCUAUGUUGGAACAUCGAAUACAGACGAGGCAUGUAAGAAAACGAUGUUUUAAGAAAUAUGUUUUAUGCUAUAUCAUUUCUUUUACUGAAAACAAUUGGACAAACAAACAAGAAAAGCCAAGGAAAAUGCGACCGGGACGUGGAAUCGGCCCGUCUGUGAGUGGAAGGAUCACACUCCCAGCUGAGAUAGAAAUAAAGCCACGCGUGCCUCUGUUUCUAUGCGUGGUAAAAUAAACAAGCAACACUUCGAGGAACUAUUGAUUCUGUUAUUAAAACACAGCCUGUUUGGUUUGCCAGAUCGUAGCCAUUAUUAAUGCAUUAUUAAUUCUAUGUAAGUGCCUGCUUGUCAGAUCCAUUAACCGGGGGAGUAAUUGCCGAGGGAGAGAGCUCAGAAGGUGUGUCACGCUGCUCGCUCGGUCUAGGUGGAACGAAGCGGAGGGAAGCCACGCGGAGCAAUGGAGGCAGCCCUGUAAGGCAGUGUCCGUUUCUGUCUGUGGCCAAAAUGGCCAGGGAUGUUUUUGGCCAAGCUGAUGAGACAGAGAUUGGAAGAGGAAAGUUUCAUACUGAUACUUCGGCUGGCUGGCUGCAGAGUAACCUGCAUUUUGGGCCAUUUUUGGUUAAAUGUAUGAAAGCAAACAUCCACAUAAAGGCUGAAAUGGUUUGUCAAUGACCCAGAGGCUGUUCCCGGGAUCUUUUGAGCCCUGGGAACCUGGAGGUACCUGCAGAGCUGAGCAGAUUGCUUCCGCAUCAAGGAAACAAGCGGGACUUGUGAGAAGGGGCGGUUUGUGAGGCCCCUGGCUGCAGGCACUGGAGGUCCUGCCACCCAGCGGCACAAGGCUGCCCUGCCUGCUUUAAGGAGGAGACAGGACUAUUGACUUGGUCCGAUUUGCCUGAACUUCUUGAGUUUCUCACUGCCCGUGGAUUCCAGUUGCUUUAACACGGGAAAUCGGACCUGCUGGAGGAGACCCUGCGCUGUCCUCAAAGACAACACUGUUUCCACUAACGCAAGGAUACAGCGUGAUUGAAACAGUGCCCCACCCAUAGGGUGGCUGGCAGAUUGAACGUGGUGCUCUGUGGAAAAAUGUGGUCUGGCCAUACCCAGUGCUAUGCACGUGUUUACCACCAUUGCCUCCCCUUCUCCCAUCUCAUGUUAUCGGUCUGUAAAGUGGGUGUCAUGAGUGACUUCUGGUAUCUGCUGAGGGGGGUGGUGUCUGGGUGAGGCCCGAGUAGUUGGAGGCUUUGGUUUUUGCAUAAUGGGACCCCUAUUUUCCACUUAACCCGAACCAAAGCGGAAUCAUGGAAGGCCUCAAUGCAGGCAGCCCUGAGGGCGCAAGAAAGUUUGCUUUGUUCAAAGGGCUCCUGGGAGCCGGGCGAUGGGUGACCACGCCAGGAAGCACCUUGACUUGGGUACUUUGCAGAAUCUUCCUCCCAGCGCACCUAGACUUGCCGCUGUGUGGCAGCUUUGACUCCCAGCCCAGUAACAAACACGUCCAUGACGCUGUGGACUGACAGAGACCGCAGAGCUGGUCAACGUGAGGAAUGGGGCCCGCGCCCCGGGGGACCUCCAAGGCUGGGGGCACGGGAGCAAGCGGGUUACUCAGGCCCACACUAACCGCACUUGUAACUUCUCUCCCUGAGUCAAGGCAAGUUUUCAUUCAAGCCAACGUAACACAAUCUUGCCAAUGACUGGAAAAAUAACUAGCUUUGCAAAAAUUUAAAAAGACUCAGAUAAUACUCAAAUUUGGAGCCCUAAUGAAGUGUGUAAACCUCAUGUCCACAGACUGUGUUACUGGAGCCAGAGGGGGAAGAUCCCUGAAUCAGCCCGCCUGGGGCCGCCCACGGCUGCUCCUUGCGUGGGAGGUGGCCCCAUGCGGCCGCUUCUCUGGGGGACAGAACAGAAACUGGGGCGAGUUUGGCCCAGCCGCAACAUCCAAGUCUGUGUUCAUUUAAAACUAACUGCCUUUGAUUGCAUUUGACAAAAACAUUGGUCCAUGAUUGACUGGAAAUAAAAUAAUGAGGGUUUGAGACCCGGGCUCCGACCUCCCUUCUGUUCUGGGCCCGUGUGAGGCCGGGGACGGCCCGGGCAGGUGUCAGCAGCAGGAGUGUUUUCCGGGGUCCCUGUGGAGAACGUCUCUCCGCAGCUUCUCCUGGAACGUUGUCUCCGAGGCUCAGCAGCCUCCUCACACCCCCUGGGUCCACACCUCAGACCCAUCUGCCCGCCCGGCCAGCCUGCCUCGUCGUUCCCCGCGGGCUCGUGCCUCAACAGGCAGCGUGUGGAUGCCACCGUCACCUUCACGGGAGAGGCAGGUCCGCCCUGGAGCUGAUCCCCUGAUGAGGAAAUGAAAACACAGAGAGGAGAAGGCACUCGCCUGAGGUACCCUGCCAGACGCUGGGGACGGGCUCACACGCAGCGGCCCAAAGCCUGCUGCCUCUCGGAGCAGCGGGGGUCUGGGACGGAUAUUGAGGCACAGGGCCUUGGACGUGCCCGUGGAGCUGCUCAGCCAGUGGGGAGUUAGCCAGCGUUUUACAGGCAAAGCUGCGGAGCUGUGCUGGUGCCUGUGUGUGAGUAUUUACAUGCAGUUUGUUACUUGGGGAAAUCAUGUACUCUUCUCACUGCUUCUGGCUGUGCAGAACACAAACUCAGAUCUGGAAUCUUCUCACUGCUUCUGGCUGUGCAGAACACAAACUCAGAUCUGGAAGCAAAGGGCAGAUGCCGUGCAGAGCGUCAGAAAGCACUGCAAACCUCAGACCAGAGGGAAGCCGGGUUUUUAAACCAUCUUCCUGCAAGCCUUUUCAGGAGGACCAAAAUUAGACCAGGUGGUUGAAGGAGGGUGGGUACAGCUGAUGCUCCAAUUCAGUCAGCUUUUAACGUGGCUCCUUCAAGCAACUGCUGCCAACCCGCUGUGCUCACCCAUCCUGGUUGGGAAGGAACCUGCUGUUCUCAACAAGCCGAGUGUCCCUGCCCCCAGCCCCCGCAUGGCUGAGGCUGCCCGUGUGUCAGUGGUGCAGGGUUGUUGAGGGUGCAGCACAGAGUGUGGUGAUGAUGCCGCCUCCAUCCCCAUUGCUCCAGGGCCAGGACUUGGAUCCAGAGUGGGAGGAGCUUCAGCUGGGAGGGUGGCUGAGCAGCCAGGGAGUGCAUCCGUCCCUGGACUGGGGAGACCCCACUGCUGAGGGGCAACAGGAGUGCAUUCUAUUGCAGACAAACUGCAGGUCCACUCUGACUUCUGUCUUUUCAAGCCUGGCUCUCUCUCUACCACUUCUGAGGUCCUGGCCUUGCCUUGCCGCGAUGGCUGCUGUCUGCACCUCAAAGCUCAUGCUAUUGCUUGGCCCUCUUCUCAAUUUCCUGUUUUGUUUCUGCCUUCUGUGGUAUCUCCCA